rnacentral:rRNA from 1 species
AUUGAACGCUGGCGGCAUGCCUUACACAUGCAAGUCGAACGGCAGCACGGGUGCUUGCCCCUGGUGGCGUGUGGCGAACGGGUGAGUAAUACAUCGGAACAUGUCCUGUAGUGGGGGAUAGCCCGGCGAAAGCCGGAUUAAUACCGCAUACGAUCUACGGAUGACAGCGGGGGACCUUCGGGCCUCGCGCUAUAGGGUUGGCCGAUGGCUGAUUAGCUAGUUGGUGGGGUAAAGGCCUACCAAGGCGACGAUCAGUAGCUGGUCUGAGAGGACGACCAGCCACACUGGGACUGAGACACGGCCCAGACUCCUACGGGAGGCAGCAGUGGGGAAUUUUGGACAAUGGGCGAAAGCCUGAUCCAGCAAUGCCGCGUGUGUGAAGAAGGCCUUCGGGUUGUAAAGCACUUUUGUCCGGAAAGAAAUCCUUGGCCCUAAUACGGUCGGGGGAUGACGGUACCGGAAGAAUAAGCACCGGCUAACUACGUG